UGCCUACAACUCAGGCAAAGGGGCAUGUUUUUAAAGUUGUGGUGCUCUAGUCUGAUAUUAAGCAGGGGGAAGUGUUUGUCCCUUUUCAGCCCAGUAUAGCAUGUCUUCAGUGGCUAUUGCUGCUGUCUCCAUCUUCCCCCCUGCCACCCCAAGCCCCACUGUAAGCUCUUUGGGGCAAGGAACAAUUUUCUCAUACUUUGUGAACAUUGCUUUCAGAGCAUUCUUGUGUGUAGAAAACCGGGAUAUAAACACAUUUUUAUUAUAAACCGAUAACUUCCAGAAGUUCUUAGCAGUGGAAACGGCAGCUCAAGCAUCUCUUCAUGACAGAUAUGCGGGGCGUUAAAAUGGAGGAUCAAUAUCAGCUGAGAUGGCCUCAAAAACAGUACAAGAGCUGUUGCUGAAGCAAUAUUUAUUCCAAUUUAGAGGACACAUCUUUUUCAAGGAAUCUCUUCACUUGACUGCCUGAGAGAAAUGUGUCAAGAACACAUCUCUCUCAGGCAGUCGAGUGAAAACAACCCUUGGAAAAUAUAUACUAUCGAAACACAUCAAAAUAAAUGUCUUCAGAUGCAGGGGUCCCCCUGUUCCCUUGUGGAGUGGGUAGAUUGGGCAAAAGAGCCUGCCAGUAUCUGUGGGAGCUCUUUUUCUCCUCAGCUGCCCCCAAGUCCUUCCAGUCAGGCUGCUGUAGGGUUGCCCACUCCAAACUGGGGUCUCUAGGAAUGGGUACUGUGGAGAAAUAUUGGAGAAAAUAAUAUCUCCAGGAACGAUUUCUUGUCAGAAAGAGUUGCUAACUCUGGUGUGUGCCUUGUAGGUAGGGGAGCUUGGAGAGAAAUGAAUGGACACUGGAGAAAUAUUGAAGGGAAUAGGCACCCUGAGCAGUAUUGAACUGUGGGCGUGGGGUAUAAAUAUUUCAAAUAAUAAGAAUAAAAUAAUAACAACAUCUCCAGGAACGAUUCCUGUCAGAAAGAGUUGCUAACUCGGGCCAGUCAUGGCCUGAGAAUUGCAGAUUGAAAGAGGUGAAACUUGGUUCAGUUUGGGGGGGGGGCGGUAAAAGCGGGAAAGGCCAUUAGAGUUGGGCAUUCCCCCUCCCCCCACCCAUUUCCCCUCAGCAGCCCUCUUUUUUCUUUAACGGCUCUGUCAAGUCUCCGCGCGCAAACUUUGGUCGGUCGUUGAUUGGCUGGCUGCUGGUUAUGCCACUCCAGGACUAGACAGCACGAGCCUGCUUGCUCGCCGUUGAUUGGCCAGCUUCUGGCUCCGCCCAGGCAACUGGACAAUUUCUGCUUGUCUCCUCGCAUUUUGAAUUUAGGCGCCUGACGUGGAGGGAGGCUCGAGGGAGAGGGCCUCAGUGUCGCCUCAAGGCGCGAGCAGGGACGCCGGCAGGGGUGGAAAGCCAAGGCGGGCCGCUAGCCCAAGGCCCCUCCGUUGCAAUAUCUUACACUUUCCCUCUAAGGAUCCCCUCAUUUAGCUGGUGAGUGUUGAUGUACAAACCUUUCUGUGUUUACUUUUCAUGCUCUGAAUAUUGGUGAGAUGGCAUAUCUGACUUGCACAGAUGAUCAGCUUGGUCUGCCCUGCUGAUGGAGGAAGCAAGGAUAGUGGAAAUGCAGCAUCCUUGACCUCUUCAAGCAGUGUGGUGUGCUGACCAGGCUUGGCUGGCUGAAGGGACAUGGUGAUAAGGCAAGGGAACAAGUCCUGAAGGAUUAAGAUUUGAGGUUUGGUUCUCCUUCUUUAUUUAUGACAUUUAUAUGCUGCUCUGUCCAAACAGGUCUCAGUGUCUCAAUCGUGGAUCGGGCUCCUUGAUGAACAAAGAUGUUCUUCAAUAAACCAUUCAAAAGAAAGUAAAGAGUAAAGGUCUUAAAACUUAUGAAGCUUUUUUUGUUGUUGUUUAGGAGGAAAAGGGGAGAAAAGACAAAGCAGUACAGAAGGAGGAAGAAAAACAAGCAGAAACGAGAAACAA